UGAAAAAAAAAAACUCAAAUUGUUUCUCUCGACGACGGGGGAUCUUUAUAUUCAAAAUCGACGACGACGAUGCCGGAGACAGCAGUGUAAUCGCCGUGAAUCUCACCAUUAACAGUCAUCACACUCGAUUGUAAGCUCUAGCCGAGAAUCUCCGGUGGUUUCUUCCGAUCGAAUUAUGUUAUUUCCUCCGUCUAAACACCACACUUCUCCUAUUCGUUCACUGUCGCUUCUGCCAUUGUUCUUCAUCUCUGUUUUCGUCUCGUUUCUCUAAAUUUCCGAUCGGAUUCAGAGACAUUGGGAGACGCCGAAGGUGUAAGUAGCCAAAGCUCUUUCCUCACUGCACAUGGAGUUACUAAAGAUUCUCGACUCCAGAUCCAACAUUCUCCAGAAACGGCUGUGAAAUCCUUUGCUGCACUAGACAUAAGGAGCAGUGAGAUCUUUAACAAGUUUAUGGAUAAAAUAUUUAAGGAAAGAGAAAGAUAAAUAUUUGUAAUAAUUUAUGGUUAUGUAAGACUCUAUGUUUUGAAUUUUUUUUGUUAUGAACGUUGACUUAGACAAAUACUAAAAUGUUUCUAAGAAGACUGUAAUGAAUG